rnacentral:ncRNA from 1 species
AAGUUUUAUUCUGGCUUGUUUUUUCUUUUCUUGGUUUAUUGCACAUGUAUUUUUUUGAGUGAGAUUAGAUAAUGUUUAAUAGUUCUGGAAGUUAUUAAAUUUUACGAGGCAGUGUUUAAUAUUGUAUAUUUUAAGAUAUUAUGAUGCAGAUAUUUGAGUGGAAGUUCCGGUUAAAUUCGUGCCAGCUGCCGCGGUUAGACGAGGGGAGCGAAGGAAAAGUUGAGUUUAGUUAAUGUAGUUAUAAGAUCUAGUAAGAGUUUAAAUAGUUUAUAUUAUUGUGUAGGUGAAAUUAUUUUUAUUUAUUAUUCUCUUUGUUUAGAGGCUAUGAAAGUAUUAUUAUAAACUAGGAUUAGAUACCCUAUUAUUGAUGCUGUUAAAUUAUUAAAUUGGAGUAGUAGUAGAUAUGUUCUUGAAACUUAAAGAAUUUGGCGGUAUUUUAGUCCAUUCAGAGGAACCUGUUCCGUGAUCGAUAGUCCACGAUUUAAUCUUAUUUAUUAUUGUUUUGCAGUUUGUAUACCGCCGUCCUUGGGAACGUUUGGAAAUGUUUUUCAUAUUUUUUAUUAGAAAUAAAAUCAGGUCAAGGUGCAGCUGAUUAAUAAGGGGAGAUGGGUUACAUUGUAUUUGAAUAAACGAAUACUAUUUUGAAAUUGAGGUAGUUGAAGGUGGAUUUGAAUGUAAUUUUAUUAAUAUUAUUAUUUUGAGUAAGGAUCUAAAAUAUGCACACAUCGCCCGUCACUCUCAUUGAGGUGAGAUAAGUCGUAACAUAGUAGGCGUAUUGGAAAAUGUGCCUAGGUUGAAAU